GGGCUGACGGAUAAUUUUCCAAGCCUUUGUGACGUGACAUCGUAGACGGCAUUUUUGAGCUGCCAUGGCUCAUGAUGAGGGAGUUGAAAUAGAGGAGUUAAUGUGCUUGUAUUUAAAGCCUCUCCAAAGCCUCCUCGACAACUUCAGAGCCAAGAUUUCAGGAAACCGGGAUCAAUUUGAAACCUGGUGCAGUUGAAAACACUCUUUCAUCACAUGCUUAGCAGAAGUUCAAGUGCACCAGAGAAUGCAGCCAAGAAUCUGUCUGCUAGAUUCACUGUCAGAAUGUCAUGUUUCACAUCUACCCGAACUCCUAUCUGAUGCAGCUGACGGAAACAAAGAAAAUCUGCAACAGGAAAAGCUCUCCGCAGACCCCCUCAAACUGGUAAUUCCAGAGGAAUCACGGACAAGUCAAGUCUCGAAGAAUGGUGAUAUUUUCACAUUCAUGGAUGGGAAAAGAAGCAAGUGAAAGAGUCCAUGAGAACACGCUAUUUAAAUGUGUGUUGUGGUUCUACCAGUAGGACAUAUAGUAUACAGUGGAAAAACUACUAGCAGGCUACAAAGAGUUUGUUAUUUGGUUUAUAUCUUCUUACUUCACCUUAGGCAAGCACAGCAUCUCGUAUUUAUUCCAAAGCAUUUACCAUCCUUCUUUGGAUUAAAUAAAUUAUUAUUGAAGACAGCAG
rnacentral:lncRNA from 1 species